UACAGAGGUCUCAAGCGUUGUUCGGAUUCAUUGGGCGUAAAGGGUGCGUAGGCGGCGCGGUAAGUCGGGUGUGAAAUCUCGGAGCUUAACUCCGAAACUGCAUUCGAUACUGCCGUGCUUGAGGACUGGAGAGGAGACUGGAAUUACGGUGUAGCGGUGAAAUGCGUAGAGAUCAUGAGGAAGACCAGUGGCGAAGGCGGGUCUCUGGACAGUUUCCUGACACUGAGACACGAAGGCCAGGGGAGCAAACGGGG
rnacentral:rRNA from 1 species